UACGAAGGUGGCAAGCGUUGUUCGGAUUUACUGGGCGUAAAGAGCUCGUAGGUGGUUUGUCGCGUUGUUCGUGAAAACUCACAGCUCAACUGUGGGCGUGCGGGCGAUACGGGCAGACUUGAGUACUGCAGGGGAGACUGGAAUUCCUGGUGUAGCGGUGGAAUGCGCAGAUAUCAGGAGGAACACCGGUGGCGAAGGCGGGUCUCUGGGCAGUAACUGACGCUGAGGAGCGAAAGCGUGGGGAGCGAACAGG
rnacentral:rRNA from 1 species